rnacentral:rRNA from 1 species
AGAGUUUGAUCCUGGCUCAGGAUGAACGCUGGCGGCGUGCCUAACACAUGCAAGUCGAACGGGGCGCGCAGGCUGAGGCUUUUCGGAGCGGAAGCCGGCGCUGUCCAGUGGCGGACGGGUGAGUAACGCGUGGGCAACCUGCCCUGCACUGGGGGACAACAGCCGGAAACGGCUGCUAAUACCGCAUAUGCCCGCAGCCCCGCAUGGGGCGGCGGGGGAAGCUCCGGCGGUGCAGGAUGGGCCCGCGUCUGAUUAGCUGGUUGGCGGGGCAACGGCCCACCAAGGCGACGAUCAGUAGCCGGCCUGAGAGGGUGGGCGGCCACAUUGGGACUGAGACACGGACCAGACUCCUACGGGAGGCAGCAGUGGGGGAUAUUGCACAAUGGGGGGAACCCUGAUGCAGCGACGCCGCGUGGGCGAUGGAGUGCUUCGGCAUGUAAAGCCCUAUCAGCAGGGAAGAAAAUGACGGUACCUGACUAAGAAGCCCCGGCUAAAUACGUGCCAGCAGCCGCGGUAAUACGUAUGGGGCAAGCGUUAUCCGGAUUUACUGGGUGUAAAGGGAGCGUAGGCGGCCUGGCAAGCCUGAUGUGAAAUACCGGGGCCCAACCCCGGGGGCUGCAUUGGGAACUGCCAGGCUGGAGUGCCGGAGAGGCAGGGCGGAAAUUCCUAGUGUAGCGGUGAAAUGCGUAAAUAUUAGGAAGGAACACCAGUGGGCGAAGGCGGCCUGCUGGACGGUGACUGACCCCUGAAGGCUCGAAAGCGUGGGGAGCCAAACAGGAUUUAGAUACCCUGGUAGUCCCACGCCCGUAAACGAUGAAUACUAGGGUGUCCGGGGG